GAGUCAGUAGCUCAGCUGGUUAGAGCACCUGCCUUUUAAGCAGGGUGUCGUGAGUUCAAGUCUCACCUGACUCACCA
rnacentral:tRNA from 1 species